CAUACCAUUUGUAAAAGUAGACAACCCAGGGUAUUCAAAGUGGAGUAUGUUCAGUCUUUUUUAGUAGCCACUUAGUCACAAACACUGGCCAAAUUUAGCAAUUAUAAUUUUUUUUGUGUUUUUCACACAAAAACAAAUAUGAACGCUAACUUUGGCCAGUGUUUGUGACAAAGUAGCUACUAAAACAGACUGGACAUACCCCAUGUUGAAUACCUUGGAUUCUCUAUUUUUGCAAAUGGUAUG